GACGAACGCUGGCGGCGUGCUUAACACAUGCAAGUCGAACGGAAAGGCCUGUCCUUCCUUGUGUUGGACGGGUACUCGAGUGGCGAACGGGUGAGUAACACGUGAGUGAUCUGCCCCCAACUUGGGUAUAAGCCUGGGAAACUGGGUCUAAUUCCCGAUAGGACUGCAGGGUGGUGCCUGUGGUGGAAAACGAUUUUCUAGUGGUUGGGGAUGAGCUCGCGGCCUAUCAGCUUGUUGGUGGGGUAAUGGCCUACCAAGGCGGCGACGGGUAGCCGGCCUGAGAGGGGGGACGGCCACAUUGGGACUGGGAUACGGCCCAGACUCCUACGGGAGGCAGCAGUGGGGAAUAUUGCACAAUGGGCGGAAGCCUGAUGCAGCGACGCCGCGUGGGGGAUGACGGCCUUCGGGUUGUAAACUCCUUUCGACCGCGAGGAAGCCGCCUGGUUGGAAGGGUGGUGACGGUAGUGGUAGAAGAAGCACCGGCUAACUACGUG
rnacentral:rRNA from 1 species